rnacentral:lncRNA from 1 species
CAGGCUGGCCAGGUCCCAAGAGCGUCGCCGGGGACGCAGAACGGAGGAGGAGUGUCGGAGAUCUCCCUGUCACCCGCUUGCCGUUCCGCGAGAUCUCCUCGCUGCUCUGCUCGGUUCAGCGGCUUGCGUCGGUGGCUUCGCCGGUGAGCACUACGGCGGCUUGCGCCGGUGGCGCCUCGGGUGAGCGCCGCGGCGGCCUGUGCCGGUGGCCUCGUCGCUGUGGUUGUGGAGGCAGUGUUGGGUCACUGAUAGGCGGGUCCAGGCCGGACACGAGAGGGCCGGAGGCGGACGAGAGCGAGCGAUGGGAGCGUCCGCUUUUGUCCAUCGCGGACCCAUUUCUUCCUAUAUUUGCGUUCAGUUUGGGUCCGGGACGGACAGUACGCGGACAGCGGGCAGACGCUUUGUCCGUUUGGGUCGCCCUGUUGGGCCAUCUUUUCUGUCCGGAUGAUCCGAACGGACAAAAUGGGUCGUCCCAUUGAAGUUGCUCUAAGACCUCGUUUGACAGAGAAGGUUUUGCAGCCCCGGAGUGGAGCAAAUACCCGUUGGCCCAUUUGGUCCCCGGGGUUUGACGGCCCAACCCUCCCGAUUCCCCGUUGAUCCAUCAGUUUCCAGGCGCUACAGAACCCUCGAGGCCCCCCUCCAGGAUUUGCCCGACUCACGCCGCCGCCUGACCCGACCGCCGACUCCUCCCUAAGACGCCGCGCCGCCUCGACGCCGGCGAUCUCCUCCGGCAUACUGGACUUCUCCCCGGUGGUUAGUAACCGCAGCCCCUCCCCUCCCCCCUCCUCUCCAUGGCUGCCACCUCCCGCACGCCCUCCGCCCGCCUCGUCCUCACCGGCAAGCACGCCAAGAACUGUGUCUCCCCUCGUCUCUGAAUACAUCCGUCGAUUCCCUCCGAUGUCUGUUCGCCUCUGUCGAAUCGGCGCGGGGCGCUGCCGUGCCGAGAGUAACUCGAGAGGGAUAAAAUAAAAUACUCUGUUCGCGUCUCUCCGAUCUGAAUCGCCUCUGGAUUGGAUCAGAUUAGCCGGGGAGAGGGGAUUGAUUGAUUGUUUUGGGAUGUGUACGAAUUACGAUCGAACUGGCGGAUAUGCUCUAAGGUAUUAGGUGCCCGGUUAUCAGAAUUGGGGAGAAAUAAUUCCGGCUGCGUGUGAGUUAUGAUUCGAAUCUCUUUCUUUUUGCAAGCGAUUCUGCCACUCAAGUAGAUGCUGAUCACGAAACUCGGCCAUCUGGAUGAUUUCCUAUUGCUGCACACGACUAGUAUUUUCUUCAGUAGACUGCAAUCAAGUGUUAAUUAGCAAUUCAUUAGUCAAGGCACGCUGAAAACAUUGGGGCUGUGUGACUGUAUUUAGGCUGGUUGAGAGCAUCCUAUUCCUUAGUCUAACAUAGCCGUAAAAAAUAAAUAAUAAGGGAGAAGUGCAGCCAAGAUAGUGAAAGGACGAGUCUGUUCAUUUUGCUGCCUUUUAAACCCCAUCAGAUUGGGUCAAGCUCAUCCUAUUAGCAGGCACAGCUCAUGUCACUUGUGACUGCCUAUUUUUGUACAUUUUUUUGUGACUGCUCGGCUGUGUGCGUCCAAGGACUGUUCAGAGAAAUGUAUACAUUGUAAUUGACUGUUCAUUCUUGUUUGCAUGGUUUAAGAUUGGAGCAAGAAGACUGAUGUGAAAAGGGAGACAUCGCCUGGCAUGAUCAAAAAGGAGAUUUUGCGUGUAGAAGUAGAGCUGAUGAAGUGAAGUGUACCAGCUAAUUCCUAUGUUGGUACUUUCUCAUAACCUAUCUUCAUGUAUUAUCCAUCACAGUCCAUUUCUCUUGCAAUGUCAACAGUUUGUUUUUGGAAAAAUAAGUACUACUCCCUCUGUUCGGAAUUACUUGUCACAUGGAUGUAUCUACAACUAAAAUACAUCUAGAUACAUUCAUUUCUUGGACGAGUAAUUCCGAAUGGAGGGAGUAUUUGGUGCAUAUGUCUGCCAGCUGCCAAUUCUAUUGAGUAACACUAGUUUUUAAUUCACCUGAGCAAUUUAUUUUACAAAUUAAUUUAAAGUUCAGAGUGUGAAAACAUGGUGAUAACGGUACUUGAGAGGUUAGCAGAUACCCAGUUUUUUGGUUAUGAUGAGCCAUCUUCAUUCAUUAUGGUGAAAUGUUAUCAGCAACUGAUCUUUACUAAACUGUUCCAAAGAUUAUGGUGAACCCUCUUGCUUCACUUAUUGUCGCAACAGAAAAUAAACAAAGCAUAGUGCAGCGUUCAUAUGGCAUCUCAUUUUUGUAACUGUUCCAAAACAAUGUGGAUGGGAAUGUGCUUGUGCUGUUAUUUAUGUCUGAACUCAUGUUUCUGUUUACUUGUACUUAAAUGGAGCUCAAGAAGAAAAGGGUGAAUAUGCACUCUAAAAUAUAUCUAUAUACAUCCGUAUGUUGUAGUCCAUUUGAAAUGUCUAGAAAGACAAAUACUGGGGAACAGAGGGAGUAGAUUCUUCACCCACGCAAUAGGAAAACUGGGCUGUCAAGUCGGGGACUUCUUUCCUUUUGGCAUCUUUGACAUCACAGAGUUAGAUGAUCAUUUGCUUUUCUUUCAAUGCGUACUUAUCCUUGCCAAUCAAUCGGUUUAAAUUACAGAAAAAAGGAUUUACAAUUCAUGUCAUAGUAUCACUUUUAUUCAGCUAUUUGAUAUAACAGUUUAAAUUACAGAAAAAAGGAUUUACAAUUCCUGUCAUAAUUAUCUAUUUGAUAUUUGCAUCUCUUUUUGUUUCAUCAGGUUCUCAGUCACCAAAAGAAGCAACAAUAAACAACCUGGAUGGAUAAAUUUCUCUCGGGUUCUCAAAGCUAGAUGAUCAUGACACCACAAGAUGGAUACAUGUGUCUGCACGUUGUUGAAAUGAACUAUUGUUGUCGUAAUGAAUUGUUGUUGUCGAAGAUCACGUUGUUUGAUAAAUUAUGAUUGCUGAGAUUUGAGAUUCGAAGUCACGCUGUUAUGAUAAAUUAUGUUCUUGCUGUGAUGAGAUAUUGAUUUCAAAUCGUGCAAAAUUAUGUUGCUUCUAAAUUAUUCUCUUGUCGCUGCUAAAUUAUGUUGCUGAUUUUCUUUUGUACAAGGCUGUAGCAAGGAUAUAAGGGGAGUUAAUUACAUUAUAAAGAUUGGAUUUUUAAG